rnacentral:lncRNA from 1 species
AAGGCACGAUCGCUCUUAUUCCCCAUAUGAUGGAAGGCAUGAUCGCUCUUAUUCCCCAUGUGAUGGAAGGCGCGAUCUCUCUUAUUCCCCAUAUGAUGGAAGGCGCGAUCGUUCCUAUUCCCCAUAUGAUAGAAGGCGCGAUCGCUCCUAUUCCCCUUGUGUUAGAAGGCAUGAUCGCUCCUAUUCCCCAUAUGAUAGAAAGUGUGAUCGUGCGGUGAAUGGGAGCCCCACUACAUGCAGCAUUUCUCGUAGUUUUUUG